rnacentral:lncRNA from 1 species
UGAUAGGUAGGAACAUAGCAAAAUUUUCAAUAAAUCUUUUAGCAUGUGUAAAGAAAGGUAUAAACACUGCAAAAGAAAUAUAGAUAUUAAAAAUAUCAAUUCCCUAUCAAAAAAACACAUUUAAAAAUAUCAAAUCCCUAUCUAAAAUUUUUUCAUUAUAAUUUUAUUAUCACGCCACGCCACAACUAUGCUAACAAUUUUUCAAGGUUAUAGGUAAACAUGGAAGAAUAACUUGAGAGCACGAAGGAGGAGAAGGAAAAAGAUGAAUUGGGAUAAGCAUAGCUUUUAUGUCGUGCCUUUAGUGUAAUGAUAUUUCUCACACACGCUUUGCCUCAGAGGGGCACACCUGCAGGGCCACACCCACACUAUAGCAAUGGAUGGAUGGAAUUCGCUCCAUUGGCAAGUGAAUUAUUCUAGGAGAAAAACAACCCUAAACAGAAAAAAGGCCAAAAGAAACCAAAAGUAUUCUGCUACAUAAACUUUCCAACCAACUAGCCCUAGAUGCUCUUUAGCAAAUCAAGAAAAGAGAACAUCCAGUUAAGAAGAGAGUAUUGGAAGUACACAUCUCAGUAUUCAGAUGAGCAAAAAACAUUUCUUU